rnacentral:snRNA from 1 species
AUCGCUUCUCGGCCUUUUGGCUAAGAUCAAGUGUAGUAUCUGUUCUUAUCAGUUUAAUAACUGCCUAUUUUGCUUUCUACUCAAGUAUAUCUCAUUGAUCCAGGUGCAAUCCAGU